UCUCUUAGUCAGGAAGGACAGUUAAUCAG
rnacentral:piRNA from 1 species